rnacentral:rRNA from 1 species
CUACGGGUGGCUGCAGUCGAGAAUCUUCCACAAUGCACGAAAGUGUGAUGGAGCGACGUCGCGUGCGAGAUGAAGGCCUUCGGGUCGUAAAUCGUUUUUAUAAGGGAAGAAUUUAGAUGACAUUACCUUAUGAAUAAGGGGUUGCUAAUUGCGUGCCAGCAGCAGCGGUAAUACGCAAACCCCAAGCGUUAUCCGGAUUUAUUGGGCGUAAAGGGUGGGUAGGCGGAUAUAGCAGUCAGUCGUUAAAUCACUGGGCUCAACCCAGUAAUCGCGAUUGAAACACUAUGUCUAGAGAUAAGUAGAGGUCAACGGAACUCAUGGUGUAGCGGUGAAAUGCGUUGAUAUCAUGGGGAACACCAAAGGCGAAGGCAGUUGACUGGGCUUUAUCUGACGCUGAGCCACGAAAGCGUGGGGAGUGAAGGGGAUUAGAUACCCCGGUAGUC